AAAAAAUUAGCCUUGUAGUAAUGAAAAAAAAAUAAUUCUACAAGAAUGGGUCUCAUUAUCUUUUGGAUCUGUCAUAUAGUAAAAUAUUAAUCGAAAUGCAAAAUAAACAAACUAGUAAAGAGGAAUGAUUGAACUUUGGUUUAGCAUAUUUCACUUCCAAAUAUUACAAAAAUUGAUGAUCAAGAAUAUAUAGGCAUAUGCUUAUAAAAAUGUAUGCCUUAAAUAUUAAUACUAAUGUACAAUAUCUUCUAAGGAGUAAGGAUGUUGAGAAGGCAGACUCUGUUUCUGAUUAAUAGCCUUGACAAGCACUCUGUGCCAGCCUCAAUAGCUUGAAGACCUGUAUUUAAUAUCUGCAGUUUCAUCGAUACAUCAACUUUAUAAUCGUUGUUGUGAAGGUAAGAACAGAGAGCAAGAUCAACACAUUCAACCUUAUUGAUUGUCUUUUCAUCUCCCUUAUAAGCUAUUGAUUUUGUUAAAAGCAUUUUUGAUAGCAAAGACCACCUGUUUUGCUUAGCCUUUGAAGCUGGCGAAGACAAGAAAUAAAGUUGUGAACUUUGGACUGAGAUGGUCAAGAUUGAUACUUGUCUUAGUACUCCAAAUAGCUUAGAUAAAGAUUGAUCUAAAUCAACUUGAGUAAAUGAUUCUAUCUUGUUUUCUAUUUGUUUUGGUACUUUGAGGCUCUUGGCUAUAUCCUUUUUCAAUUUUUUUCUUAAACUUAUGUAGGCAUUGAAGCAACUUUGUGUUGACACUCAAUUUUGAUCAUCCACGAUUUGAUUAAUUUUUAAAACUUCUUAGAUCUUAAACAAAUGAAAAUAAUUGAUUUUUAUCAAAAAAAGUAAAAAAAUUCUGCCUUUUCCACAUCGUUUUUCAAACAAUUUUCAAUUUUGCAGCAGUCCCACAUCGGUAUUUCAUCCUUUUUGAAGAUUUUUGGAUUUCUAUAUAAACCCACUUCAUUCCCUAUUAUAAGAGAGGAAUUUUUAGGGGAAGACCAAAUAGUACCCAUAAAAUUUUGAGAAUUCUUGGUUUUAUAGUUCAAAAUUUUAAAGUGAUUUUGUGGUUUUUCGAGUUGAGGAGAGGGAGUCGUCUCCUUCAAAAGCCAAAAGCGUAGUUUCGGUUCGCUGCCCAGUACCAGGUGUACAGGUUGAAAAACAGCAGAAAUGCACAGCUGGAAAUUGAUUACUGGUUCAUCAGAACCUGAAAAGUUGCUGGAAAUUAAUUUACAGGUGUUGAAGAUGAUGUAUACCUGCUGUAUACAUAUUGUAUAUACUGAUAUACAGGUUGACAGGCGUACAGGAAGCAAAAAUUCGAAAUCUGGGUUGAUAUCCCUCCAGAUACACUGCUGAAAAGGAGCUUUCAACUUUCGAAAGUUGAAAAAAAAGGCUGAUAUACAGAUUGUAUACACUGAUAUACAGAUAUGCUACACCAUAAAUAGGUGUAAAAAGUGUGAAUUGCAGGUUAACAUACAGAGACGCCAAAUUCAUAUAUAAUGCAGGAAUAGGAAAUGAAUACGUGCAUAGAAUACAGCUCGUAUAUAUUGAUAUACAUCUUUUGGGCAGCGAUAUACAAUUAUUAAAACAGGAUAAAAAAUGGUACAGAUACAAAGGCGCUGAAAUAAUAUGGAAAAUACAGAGGAAUCGCGAGAAAUGCGUAUUCAAACAAAAUACAUGGCUCAAAAGUCCAAAAUGGAAUUGGAUGUAUAUCGUAUACAUCAGUAUACAUCAUUAUAUACCUGUUUCUUUUUUUUUCAGGAAAAUUGGGCCAGGGCCCUUCAGCAAUUUUUAAAUAGGCCCAAAAGCCUAAUGUUUUUGCAGAUUUUAAUUAGUUAAGGGGGCCCAAGCCUACAUUUUAAAAAUCAGUAUGGACAGGUGGGCCAAAGCCCAAUUUUGAUGAAUUUGGGUAUUUAGCCCAAAUUCAAAAUGUUCUUUUCUCUUCCUCUUUUAUUUAUAUAUUGUUUGAAUUAAUUAAUAUUUGGUAGAAUUUUAAUAA